rnacentral:rRNA from 1 species
CAGUAGCCGCGGUAACACGUAGGUGGCAAGCGUUGUCCGGAAUUAUUGGGCGUCAAGGGCUCGCAGGCGGUUUCUUAAGUCUGAUGUGAAAGCCCCCGGCUCAACCGGGGAGGGUCAUUGGAAACUGGGAAACUUGAGUGCAGAAGAGGAGAGUGGAAUUCCACGUGUAGCGGUGAAAUGCGUAGAGAUGUGGAGGAACACCAGUGGCGAAGGCGACUCUCUGGUCUGUAACUGACGCUGAGGAGCGAAAGCGUGGGGAGCGAACAGGAUUAGAUACCCCCGUAGUCCCUGUCUCUUAUAC